UUUUAUUUGAGAGUUUGAUCCUGGCUCAGGAUGAACGCUGGCGGCGUGCCUAACACAUGCAAGUUGAGCGAUUUACUUCGGUAAAGAGCGGCGGACGGGUGAGUAACGCGUGGGUAACCUACCCUGUACACACGGAUAACAUACCGAAAGGUAUGCUAAUACGGGAUAAUAUAUUUGAGAGGCAUCUCUUAAAUAUCAAAGGUGAGCCAGUACAGGAUGGACCCGCGUCUGAUUAGCUAGUUGGUAAGGUAACGGCUUACCAAGGCGACGAUCAGUAGCCGACCUGAGAGGGUGAUCGGCCACAUUGGAACUGAGACACGGUCCAAACUCCUACGGGAGGCAGCAGUGGGGAAUAUUGCACAAUGGGCGAAAGCCUGAUGCAGCAACGCCGCGUGAGUGAUGAAGGCCUUCGGGUCGUAAAACUCUGUCCUCAAGGAAGAUAAUG
rnacentral:rRNA from 1 species